UUGAAAAAAAAAAGUUUGCUUGAGAGAUUAGUCCUAUUAUGGUACAGCACUAUUUUUCUAGAAAAUUAAGGAAGAAAAGAACUAGGACAGGACAUAAACAUUCAUUGGAGCAACACCAUUGAAGCCAGUUUUUCUCUCAAAGAUGUCACUUAAGGCAGGAACUGAAAUCCAUUAAAAGUGAAUGGCUCAUUGUGGAAACAAGUUGAGAUAAUUUUGAUUUCCAGCCCUGGGGGUAUCUGCCAUCAAAGGAGGAGUCAAGAGAAUGUAUAAGGCAAAAAAGACAAAUAACCAAAGAUUUCAGAAGGGGAAAAAUUUAAUUAAAAACCUUGAGCACUAAAAGAUAAAUCAGCAGGGAAGAUAUUAAAACAGAAUGGGAGAUGGGAUCUAGAACAUUCAAAUGAAGUCAAAUGUUUUGAAAAGACAUUUCAAGAUAAAGGAAAAUGAGUUAAUAAUUGAUAAAGUUGAGAACCCAUGGAUUGCCAAAAGAGCAUGGAAUAACAGAAGGAUGUUCUCAAAUGAUUUAAGAGAGAAAUAAGAAUUGUGAAAGAAGAAUUUCUGGCCUGAACAGCAAAAAUAAUUGGCAGAAUGGGAAAAAAAAAGUCAUUGUGGCAAGUGUCUCCAAAGGAAUAAAAGAGGGAACAACUGGUUGGAAAUACAAAUACAUGAAAAGAAUUAUCAAGUGCUUUGAGACCUCUAGUUGACAAGGGUAGAAGAGAAUGG